rnacentral:rRNA from 1 species
GACGAACGCUGGCGGCGUGCCUAAUACAUGCAAGUAGAACGCACAGUUUAUACCGUAGCUUGCUACACCAUAGACUGUGAGUUGCGAACGGGUGAGUAACGCGUAGGUAACCUGCCUGGCAGCGGGGGAUAACUAUUGGAAACGAUAGCUAAUACCGCAUAAUAUUAAUUAUUGCAUGAUAAUUAAUUGAAAGGUGCAAUUGCACCACUACCAGAUGGACCUGCGUUGUAUUAGCUAGUAGGUGAGGUAACGGCUCACCUAGGCGACGAUACAUAGCCGACCUGAGAGGGUGAUCGGCCACACUGGGACUGAGACACGGCCCAGACUCCUACGGGAGGCAGCAGUAGGGAAUCUUCGGCAAUGGACGAAAGUCUGACCGAGCAACGCCGCGUGAGUGAAGAAGGUUUUCGGAUCGUAAAGCUCUGUUGUAAGAGAAGAACGGGUGUGAGAGUGGAAAGUUCACACUGUGAUGGUAUCUUACCAGAAAGGGACGGCUAACUACGUG